GACAAGCGCUGCCCGCCUAAAACGCCACAUCGUGUGGCUGGCGGGUUUGCACGUCCUGUGCC
rfam:Bacillus selenatarsenatis SF-1 DNA, contig: BSSF00064.